GACGAACCGUGCGAACGUUAUUCGGAAUCACUGGGCUUAAAGGGCGCGUAGGUGGUCUGUCAAGUCAGGGGUGAAAUACUUCGGCUUAACCGGAGAACUGCCCCUGAUACUGAUGGGCUCGAGCGAGAUAGAGGUAGCCGGAACUACCGGUGGAGCGGUGAAAUGCGUUGAUAUCGGUAGGAACGCCAGAGGCGCAAGCGGGCUACUGGAUCUCUUCUGACACUGAGGCGCGAAAGCUAGGGUAGCGAACGGG
rnacentral:rRNA from 1 species